UACAAAUGAGCCCAGUGCUGUAAAACCAGGGAAUUAGCGUACCAUAUCUACUACCAUGAAUUGUAUCGAUUUUGGCAUAAUUUCUGUGGUAUAAAAACAGUGGUGGGGCUCCUCUUAUUGCUAGACCCCACCAUUGUUUUUCUAACACAGAAAUUAUGCCAAAAUAGAUACAAUUCAUCCUAGUAUUCAUUCAUUCAUUCAAUAGUAUUUAUUGAGCGCUUACUAUGUGCAGAGCACUGUACUAAGCGCUUGGGAUGAACAAGUCGGCAACAGAUAGAGACAGUCCCUGCCGUUUGACGGGCUUACGGUCUAAUCGGGGGAGACGGACAGAGUAGAUAUGGUAUGUGUGGCGAUAUAUGUUUGUGAAACAGGAGAAAGGUACGAUUGUAUGAGUGAAAUCUGCUACACCUAGAUCCCCUAUUGAGGGAGGAAUCUGCCCUUCUCCUCAGAGACCUGGAGAGGAGUACAUACAUUGACCCAGCCCCACGAGUUGUCUCUGAGACACCGCUUCAGCACAGAGUGGCAGGAGCAGAAGGUGAGAGAAACGUCAGCAAAUCAUCUGCAAAAGACAAGAUUCUGAUUCUUUGUGGCUGGCAAGAGGAGAAUCCAAGAAUACCAAAAUGAGUCAUAAAAAGUUAAAGGUGAGUUUGAGAGAAGAGGAAUUCAACCGAGUAGAGCCGCAGUAGCAUAAAAACAGGAAAGAGCAUUUCUUUGGCCUCGUAAAGAGAAAUACUCUCAAAAAAUCUCUAGUGUAUUGGUACAACAGGGAAUGAAAUACUAUUCGCGGUUGCAUAACCCUUCCUGGGUGUUGUGCAUUUCAACCGUGACUGAAAAAAAGUAAGCAGAACUAAAGCUAGUUACACUACGGGCCGAUCAUUCUUUAUUAGAAUGGCUACUAAGCUGGUUUUAUAUCGUACAGUCCAGUUUUUUAAGGGUAUUUGUUAAGCACUUACUCUGCAUCAAGCAAUAUCCCAAGGGCUGGGGUAGAUAGAGAUUAAUCAGGUUGUACACAUCCUGUCCCUCAUGGGACUCAGAGUCUAAGUAGGACGGAGUAGGAUUUAAUCCCCAUUUUAUAGAUGAGGAAGCCAGGGUCACAGAC
rnacentral:lncRNA from 1 species